rnacentral:tRNA from 1 species
GCUGCCUUAGCUCUGAGGGUCAGAGCGUCCGCCUGAAGAGCGGAAGAACUCGGUUCGAUCCCGAGAGUCGGCA